CCUGGGCCACUCCAGAGGCCGAGGGUGGAGACUUGCUGAGCGUCUGCGUGUGCAGGGCACAGCUCCCCUGCAGGUCCUGGGUGGGGGUGAUUAAAAACGGUCCUCCCCACCUGGCCUUGGAGGGUGGGGCUCUGUGGUCACCCUGGUAAGUGCCCUGAGUCCCAGCACUGAGUGGAGAGUGGGCAGGCAGGGUGGCAGGGCCAGCCUUCUGGGAGGCCCUCACCUGGUCAACUCGCCCUUCUGGUCCUAGGUGGAUGAAGGACAUGGACACUUAGGAGGGGUGUGCCGGGAGGCAGUGUCCCCAGAGGAGGCUGCAGGAGGGACAGACGGGGACAUGAGACAACAUGGCCUGCUGCCCCAGGACUGGAGGCCUUGGAAGAAUCUGGCAAGAGGAGGAGCCCCGGCUGGGCUGGCGGCCCCAUGGCUGGUGCCGUGAGGUGGUUCCGCCAUGGGGCCCAGUGAGAGGAGGACCUCACAGGCAGAUAGCAGGUGUCUGGAGGAGGCCCUGCUCCCACAACAGCCCCUGGAAGUGGGCGCACUGGAGAUUCCGGGGGACACGUUGUCAAGCUCCCCAGAGCUUGGGCAGGAGCUGACCUGGCCUGGGGGCCACUCUUUCCAGUGCUUCAGUGACUUCCCAGGGACGUGGGCAGUACUCAUGCAUGCUCUCGGGGCCAUUUCCCAGAGAAAGAAGCUGCAUCGGCAGCACCGACAUUCUAAUGAAAGGCCACUCUGUUCUGGGACACCUUCGACAACAUCUUCGUGGAGUAAGGCCACAAAGAGAUUCUACAGUGAUCAAGAGACCCGAGGCCCAGGCCAGGCAUGACCUUUGCCUUGCCAUGGACGAGCUGAGCACUGGGGACGGGGUCUCUGCAGCUGUGGCAUCUGUCACCCCACAACUGGCAGAGCCCCCUCGCAGCCAGUGGCCACAGGCUGUGAGUGCAUGGGACACUCAGGGAGCCUGGGGCCCUGCGCGCUGUGGUCUGGGCUCCUGAUGGUUCAGAGUUCCGGUUGAGCCAGGGGUUGACGUCAUCGCUGUGUCCUCGCUGUCUGUGGCUCUGCUGUAACCGGGAUGUGGCUGGAGUCCCGGGAGCAGGAGCUGGAAGGUGGGUCCCAGUGUGGUGACGUGAGAGGUGGUGGGCCCUUAAGGGGGGCUUCGUGGGAGGUCAGGACCCUAAGUUAGUUUUCUGGAGAAGGUUUUUGCAAGACGCCCUGGCCUCCUGUCACAGCGGGUGACCUCUCUCACAGGCUCCUGCCAUGGUACCGUCUCCAUGGGGUGAUGCCCUUGCCAGCGCCUGUGCCCUGUUGUUUGGCUUCCCCAGCUGCGGGCUGAACGUGCCUCCUCUUUUGUGAGUCACUGGGCUCCAGGUAUCUCACUGUAGUAGUGGAAAUGGGCUGGGAUCUGACUCCUGGCCCAGCUCCGACUAGUCCUUCUAGUUAGCUGGACCAACUAGACUCUAAAAUAAAACCAGAGAUUUUAUAUCAGAGACCUGCCGAGACUCUGAGAAACAGUAACUCUAUGCUGAACACAUAGUAGGUGUUCAAAAGAGUGGUCACCCAUCUCCCUGUCCCAGUUCAAAAGCCUGUCCCCUAAGUUCAAAAGUCUGCAGAGGUGGCUUGGCUGAAACAAGAUGGGUCUAUCUUUGUGGCAAUGUAAGUAAUGCAGCUCUGAAGCCAGGUGACCUCUGCAACAGGGCCUGGCUCUGGGCAGGUGAAUGGGAGUUUCCGAGCAAUUCAACCCAAACAAGAUUGGACCGUGACAGCCACUGCGGCUGAUACCCCAGAGGCUGCUGCUGAUGGCUUCUCCCUUCCAGAUGCUGACAACAAGCCAGUGCUCUCCCCGGGGACUCGGAGGAAGACGAGGAGAGGAGCACAGGUGGGAAGCGUGCUGGAGAUAAGGUGGGGCAGAGCCUCGAACCUGCACAGCUCAGUGUGCCGCUGGCCCUCUGCCAGGGCUGGACCGGCUCCUUGGAGGGCAGCCCAGCUGCUCCAAGCUGUGAAGCAGCCACCAGGUCUCACCCUUGACGUGGUGGUCGGUGCGGCUGCGCGGUGCUUCUGGGCAGAACCGUGCCUCUGGGGGUCCGCGGGGCGUAGGGCCCUGGAGACGCUGGCUGCUCUGUGGGGCUGGUGACUGCUGUGACUCCCACUUCCUGUUGGCUUUGGUGGGAUCCUCCUGCCUUUCAUUGUCAGCUCUUGUCCCUGUCUGGAAUGUCGUCACCUGUCAUUGCUCUCACAGUCCAGUGUCUUUUCCUGGGGUGCAGCCCGGGUCGUCUCUUCUGCAGACAGGACCUGGUCCGCCCGAGCCCGCUGCAGCCCCCAUGGGUCACUCAUUGUGGUUCCCUCUGCAUGGUGAGGGGCCCCAACCCCCAUCGCCCAGCACCUUGUUGGUGAUGUGUGCUCACGUGUUCUAGUUCACUUAUGUGUCAAGCGUGCCCUGAGCCCUCUGUGUCCCAGGCCCUGAGGACGCAGGCGUGAACAAGCACACGCGGCUCACAGAGCCCGCCGUGGAGGGAGGCGGAGGAGGAAAGGGUGAGCGAGUGGGUGCCCUCCAGUGCAUGGACAGCGAGGAAAGUGGAGGCGGAAGAGCGAGGCUGGGGACGGGAACGUGCUGUGGAAGCUGCCUUAGAGGGUGGCCCUGGAGUGACGCCUACGCAGCAGCCACUGUGCCGUGCUGGAGCCUGAGGACAGCGGAGGGGCCGCAGCAGGGACGAGCUCUCCUGUGAGGGGCUCAGGGCCAGCCUGACUGCAGGGAAGUUUGAGCCCUGGGGAAGGGGAAGUGGGGGUCCCUGGGAGGCUGGGUCACGGGCAGGUGAGGACCUGAGGUGUCCAGAGAGCCAGCGUGAGCACGGCAGAGGCUCCAUCUUGUUGUAUGAAGGGUUAUUCAGAGCAGUUAACACUCUGGCUUAGUGAAAAAGUGUGAUUUUGACUCACACAGUCCUACCCUGGCGCCAGGCUCCUGGGCGCUGCCUCCAGGGGUGCUGCAGGUACCCAGGUGUGGCCCCCGCCACUGGAGGCUGAGGUACAGGGCCUGAGUUCCUGCAGAGACAAGAGCUGGGGAGGAGAGACGCUCUUAGUGACGCAGGCUCCUGUCCCAUUGGCAAGGAGUGUCACAUGCCCAGGCUGACUGCAAGGGAGGCUGGGAAAUGCCCUCGUCCCUGUGCCCAUGGCAUUGCCUGCCCUAACUCUGUGGCUGUCUGGGGAACAGCAGGGGACAGUACUUGGAAAUCAGAGCACCUAAGGUUCCCUCGAGACCAAAUGUUGGCCACCAUGGGUGCCCUUGGCUGGGCUACAAGGUUGCCAACCUCACUGUUGUGAAGAAGUUGGUGGGUCCCUCUGAGGUUCCCAUCAGAGGAAGUCAGAGAGUGCCACUGACCUGCCAAAAGACACAGAGCACAAGAGACAGGACCAGGACCCAACUCUCACUCAGCGGCGCUGGCCAUCACUUUUACUUCCACCAACACGUCGAGUCAAUGGAGCCCAAGGGACGUCCACCAGGCAGGACAGGCAGAAAGGCAGAUCAAAGGGCUGAGAGAGUAGGGCUUGGGAGAAGGAGGCCUCAGGAAGGCCCUGACCUGGCAUGGGACUCUGGCAAGACACUCACCUCCUAGAACCUUGGUUUUGUGACAUGUUAAGUGGGAAAGAUAAAGUUGGAUUAACUCAGCAAAACCAACAGCAAUGAAGUCCUUGGGUUUCACAGAGGCACCUCUUGUGCCAGGGGUCCCCGGCUAGUACCCUGCAUGGGGCCUUCUCGCUCAUGGGGACCGAGGACAGAGGCUUCUGCCCUGUGGUCAGGGGUCCCCGGGUUUCUGGGCCUGCUGGUGGAUGGGCAGAAAGGCUGUGUGGAGGAGCCUUUCCAAAAGCCCUGCCCAGAAUGUAGCCCGUCAGCUCUGUCCAUCUGCCAUUGGCAGAAAUCAGUCACAUGACCACUCGGGAGCCAGGGGGACCAGAAACUGUCAUCCCUGGUGGGCAGCAACACCGGCCAAUCCCCAUGAAGGACAGGACACACCGUUCCUGGCAGGCAAGCGGCCACUGCUGCUGUUUCACGGGCCUCUUGCUGCGGUGACUAGAAGACUCGCCCAGCACUACUGCCGAGGAGGGAAGGUGUAUUUGGGGCUCACAGUCGCAGAGGUCUCCGUCCAGGAUAGUCAGCCCCAUUCCUCAGGGCUCAAGGUGAGGCAGGACACCAUGGGGGAAGAGUGUGGUGCGGGGAGCAGAAGCAGAGAGAGAGCUCUCCGUUUGCCAGAUACAGAUAUACACCCAAAGCCACGUCCAGGGCCCCUCCUCAGCUCCCGCCCAGUGAAUCCCAUCCAUGGGGAUUAAUUCACUGAUUGGGUUAAGACUCUCACAACCCAACUGCUUCUCCUCUGAACCCUCUCACGUUGUCUCACACGAACUUUUGGGGACACCUCAUCCAAGCCGUGACACCUGCCACCAUCACAUCUUGCUGGUGGCUGUGAAGCUCUAGCCUGGCAACGAUCGUGAAGCCCGACCAGGGGCCCUCGGCCAGGCAGACGCUGUCACCCAGUUAGGCUCCGAGUCAGCUCCUUCCGUAUCCACGCAUGCUUCACAACUAAGUUCCCGUCUCCUCCAGCCUCGGUUUCCUCUUGUGUGAAAAUGGGGAGGGUGACAUCUGUUUUAAGGAUGAGUUUAGGGAUUAAGUACACAACAUCUGGAAAGCACCUGCCGUGAUUGAUGGCUCUGCUCUGGUGGUCAAGGCCCAGGGAGCAGCCGUGCUAGUGGUAGGCCCUGUUCAAACCGUGAGCUGAGAGGAAGGGCCACUCUUCUGUGUGCUCAUGUUUUAGGCAGCUUCUGUGUCACUGUGACAAACGACCAAGGAGGAAAAGUUCGCUUUGGUUCAUGGUUUCAGAGCUUCCGUUGGUGAUCGGCAGACUCCCGAGAGCUGGGUCUGAGGCGGGGUGGAACCUCAAGGUGGAGGGCAGCAGCUCAGGACACCGCAACCAGGAAGCAAGGGCACUCCCCUCGCCAGGGGUAAUGUGUCAACCCAGAGGCCCGCCCCGGGGACCCUGUCCUGCGCUCGCCUACCGCUUGCCUACAGUUCCCCCCCCGCCCCCCCGUUCAUCCAUGUCGUGACUCCAUCGUGUCCUUGCACCCUCAGACGUGAGCUCUGGGGACACCUCGGAUCUAAACCUUAGCAUCUCGCUAUGAUCAUGGCCGUUCACUUGUGUCCGCCUCAGUUUUCAAAUCUCUGAUGUGGGAAAGCAACAGAAGCUGGAGGGGGAGAUGCUCUUCCCUUCUGCUAACGUGGCAGAGCCCACGGGUUAUAUUUCUGCCCCAGUCCUCAGGCCUGCAGGAUCUCACUGGAAUCUGGGCAGAAAAAAUAAUAAUACAAAUGUGUGGUAGAUGGAGUUAAUUCUGCAUGCACAAGGCAGAGCAAAAACAGGGCAGACUCACCUCCUUAAACAGCGCUGUGCCUAAUGGGGAUUCACUGCCCCUCCCCGUUUCCUCAUGCCACGGGAUCUCACUGAUCCAUAUGGAGGCCUGGAAGGGAAUGCUGAUGAGGAGAGUGGGGAUGCGCGCCUCUCCUGGUCCUGCUCAGGAUGCCAGCCGACUGUGCGUGUGUACCUGUUACCGACCGGCCGGCCGGCACUCCUGCUCCAUCUGCUGCAGCACUUGGAUUUGGAAGCUGGGAAAGGUCUCACUGUUUGUGGUUCUGUGGACCAGGAGGCUGUAGUGUAUCCACAGACAAUGGAUGAACAAAUGCCUAAUGCCCAGGGACUGCGAGAGCGCCCUGGGGCCAGGUUCUGGAUGGCCCUGAGCCUCCCCAGGGUGGUGUCCUGGCCCUGGGCCUGACCCUCCUGCAGGGGCACCAUACCUAGGGCUGGAGGGGGUGGGUUGAACUCAGGCUCCCUGAGUAUGGCUCCCCCAGGCGCCUGGCCCAUCACUGAAAUCAACCAUCCCCAGAGCCCUGGGAUGCCGCCUCCUUCCACCUACCCCCAUCCUCGGCUCUCCCUCACACACAGGACUGGGGCCAGGGCAGGAGCCCCUGCAAAGGGUUUCCUGCUGCUGCCCCCUGCAGUUUCCCCUUCCACAGUGGCCCUGGGGAGAUCACGCUCCUUGAGGAAAUCAACACCCACCUGUCCUGCUCUCACCUGUCCUCUGCCCCCGCCCCCCUGCCCCAAGGCUUACAGCUCAGUGAAGGGCAGCUGGAGGUAGAGGGCCAGAGGCCGCCAUGUGUGGCGGGUCCUGACGUGGGGAGGCCCAGCACCUCCAGCACUCGGUGGACAGAGGAGGAGGCUCCCAGGCCAGCGAGUGGAGCUGGGGGGCUGGGAAAACGCAUGAGGGGCUGACGGG
rnacentral:lncRNA from 1 species